rnacentral:rRNA from 1 species
UACGUAGGGUGCGAGCGUUAAUCGGAAUUACUGGGCGUAAAGCGUGCGCAGGCGGUUCGUUGUGUCUGAUGUGAAAGCCCCGGGCUCAACCUGGGAAUGGCAUUGGAAACUGGCGAGCUAGAGUGUGGCAGAGGGGGGUGGAAUUCCGCGUGUAGCAGUGAAAUGCGUAGAGAUGCGGAGGAACACCGAUGGCGAAGGCGCCCUUCUGGGAAAUUCCUGACACUGAGGCGCGAAAGCGUGGGGAGCAAACAGG